rnacentral:lncRNA from 1 species
CUGCUAGAAAACAGUUUAUUUAAGAAGCACUAUGCUGACACUUUGUGCUUACAGUCUGCUAAGCACAAUCAAAUGGCAUUUACAGACAGGAUCUCAGCAGGACAUGAAAAUCCACUUGUUCGACCCAUUUAUCCAUCCUUGUCUCUUCCGGUGAAUUAUUAAUGUAAAAUAUGGUAUGAGUGUCCAUGUUUUUCUCUUUUCCACUAGCCUGACCACAACAUCACAUAUCGUAAAGGUAGAGAUGACCAAAGGGGAACACUGCAGUUUUUUCCUUACUGCAUUCUGAACAUUCUUCACAGGUAUUGACCAUGCACAAAGUGAAGAGUCGUGUUUAGUCCCGGUUCAUCCACUUGGAGUUACUGUUUAGCAGGCCACUGGUCAUGAAGACACUGCCAAGGCCAGGAGAUGUGACUCACCCAUGGGUCUCAGAGAACCUAGCAGUCCCUCUUGUAGGACCUGCUGAGUGAAAAUAGCAAAUGGAUGGAGACGAAUACAGGGAAGAACACAUGCAUGGAGAAUGGCAGAAGCUCCACUGACACAUUUCAACUUUUUGACUACGUGUAGCCAUCAGGCAUCAGGGCAUCUUGUCGUUUCACAGUACUCUGCUGGCAAGCCAUACAGAAGACUUGCAGUGUGUGAGAUGUUUGGUUGCCAGCAGAGAAUCUUAAUUAUCAGACAAUGCAGCUAUAGAGUGGAAAUGUAUAUUUGCAUGGCAUUUGGCUCAGUUUCUUCCAAGAGAAGAUAAGUGAGCAAUGCUCCUUGGGUUAGCCAUUAAAAUGGAAUCCCAAAUGAAUUUAGUAAUGAACAAGGCCAGCUCCUCUCACCUAGUUCACAGCUGUUACUGCAAAGAACUGUUUGCAAUUUAUUUUUUUCAGACAUUUUAGAUGGUCAAGAGCUUAGAGCAAAUCCAGUAUCAGGAAUUGAAUCAAACAUGGACAGGGCUAGAUUCAGGCAGUAUAUAAAUGGAAGAGAAGCACAAGCCUCUAUCCCAUCGUGUUCUUCACAUUGUUUUAAGAAAGCCAUGCUCGAGGUGUGAUUAGCAGUGAGAGAAGAGGGCAAGGGGAACAGACCUGUCUAGAGGACUGCAUCUGGAUGGGGUAGCUCCAUCAGGUGACAUAAAACCCAAGACACUCAAGAAGAGGAUCUCAAGAUUUAAUCCGGGCAGAUAUUCACAAAUAAAUUAGCUUUCCAUCUCCA